rnacentral:rRNA from 1 species
GUCUAUGGCCAUACCACCCUGAACACACCCAAUUUUGUCUGAUCUCGGAAGCUAAGCAGGGUCAGGCCUGGUUAGUACUUGGAUGGGAAAAGAAAGAAAUAAAAGGAAGGGGAAAAAAAGCAUUUGUGACU